rnacentral:rRNA from 1 species
UACAGAGGUCUCAAGCGUUGUUCGGAUUCAUUGGGCGUAAAGGGUGUGUAGGUGGCGCGCUAAGUCGGGUGUGAAAUUUCGGAGCUUAACUCCGAAACUGCAUUCGAUACUGGCAUGCUUGAGGACUGGAGAGGAGACUGGAAUUCAUGGUGUAGCAGUGAAAUGCGUAGAGAUCAUGAGGAAGACCAGUGGCGAAGGCGGGUCUCUGGACAGUUCCUGACACUGAGACACGAAGGCCAGGGGAGCAAACGGG